UACGUAGGGUGCAAGCGUUAAUCGGAAUUACUGGGCGUAAAGCGUGCGCAGGCGGUUUUGUAAGUCAGAUGUGAAAUCCCCGGGCUUAACCUGGGAACUGCGUUUGAAACUACAAGGCUAGAGUGUGGCAGAGGGGGGUGGAAUUCCAGGUGUAGCAGUGAAAUGCGUAGAUAUGUGGAGGAACACCGAUGGCGAAGGCAGCCCCCUGGGUCAAAACUGACGCUCAUGCACGAAAGCGUGGGGAGCAAACAGG
rnacentral:rRNA from 1 species